rnacentral:rRNA from 1 species
AUGAGGAGAAGGGUUAUCGUAUUUAAUCCAUCACUAGACGUACGACAAGUGGAAAAUAGCACUCACAACAAAGAGAUGUUGAAGGAGAUCACUAUUUUGAAGCAAGAACUCAAUGAAGUGUUGCAGGCUAGGGUCCUUGGAUGGAACACCGAACUCAUGGAUUGGCGACAAGACAACAUGUCAUUCAAUUUUCGACGCAAAGACUUGGGUUUCUUAGUUCUACAAGAGAUGGCCCACCAGCUCGGUUCUUUGCGUAGCAUGACCUGGAUGAACACCACAGAUCCAAUUAUGCUCAGGAGCCAAGUGGUAGUCCAGAUGCUCAUGGUGAAAGACAAUCUAGCUACUGGAAACAUCCCUCAGGAGAUUACGGCGGCCUUGAGGGUUUUGAACAAGUAA